CAGAUCACUAAAAACAGUAGCUAGUGAUUCUUCUACAGUCAAAUCAAGAAAUAGUGCAUCCAAUGAAAAUUCCAGAAGUCAGUUCUCUUCAAACUGUCACAACUCACCAUAGAAAUCUUGGAAGUUAAAAAGCUCCUUGAGCGACAAUCGAUGCCAACUGCUUUACUAAGUGCUAACAACUAAAUGGACUCUUUGGAAAUUAGUGAUGGCCCCAUUGACACAGUUGAACAAUACAAGUCGUUGGCUUUUCGUUGUUAAAGUCCUGCUGCAAGUACUCUUUUGUUACAUUUGCUAAAGAAAAUUGGUGAAUCAGAUCUGGGAAAGACUAAUGCGUAUAUUAAGUCGCGACUUUUUACUAAUUCUUUGAUGUCGCA